rnacentral:rRNA from 1 species
AUUGAACGCUGGCGGCAUGCCUUACACAUGCAAGUCGAACGGUAACGCGGGGCAACCUGGCGACGAGUGGCGAACGGGUGAGUAAUACAUCGGAACGUGCCCAGUAGUGGGGGAUAACUGCUCGAAAGAGCAGCUAAUACCGCAUGAGACCUGAGGGUGAAAGCGGGGGAUCGCAAGACCUCGCGCUAUUGGAGCGGCCGAUGUCAGAUUAGCUAGUUGGUGGGGUAAAGGCCUACCAAGGCGACGAUCUGUAGCUGGUCUGAGAGGACGACCAGCCACACUGAGACUGAGACACGGCCCAGACUCCUACGGGAGGCAGCAGUGGGGAAUUUUGGACAAUGGGGGCAACCCUGAUCCAGCCAUGCCGCGUGCGGGAAGAAGGCCUUCGGGUUGUAAACCGCUUUUGUCAGGGAAGAAAUCCUCUGGGCUAAUACCUCGGGGGGAUGACGGUACCUGAAGAAUAAGCACCGGCUAACUACGUGCCAGCAGCCGCGGUAAAAC